UCCAUUUUCCAGUCACAGUGGAUCUCUGC
rnacentral:piRNA from 1 species